rfam:Mesocricetus auratus contig154489, whole genome shotgun sequence.
UUUUUUUCAGUAGCACAUAUACUAAAAUUGGAACAAUAAAGAGAAGAUUAGCAUGGCCCCUGCGCAAGUAUAUUUUUUAAAUGAAAGAGAACAUUAAAUGGAUCUU